rnacentral:rRNA from 1 species
UAAGUUUGAUGGCGACCGGCGCACGGGUGAGUAACACGUAUCCAACCUGCCGAUGACUCGGGGAUAGCCUUUCGAAAGAAAGAUUAAUACCCGAUGGCAUAGCUCUUCCGCAUGGUAGAACUAUUAAAGAAUUUCGGUCAUCGAUGGGGAUGCGUUCCAUUAGGUUGUUGGCGGGGUAACGGCCCACCAAGCCUUCGAUGGAUAGGGGUUCUGAGAGGAAGGUCCCCCACAUUGGAACUGAGACACGGUCCAAACUCCUACGGGAGGCAGCAUG